CCAAACCGUUGUUCAACUCAACUCCAUUCUUGAACCCAAACCCAACGCUGAGGCCAUUCACAUCUGGUGAUUUUCGACUUCUGAUUUUUGGCACUUUUUGCAGUUGUAGGUUUAUUGGCUGGUUCCCUCUUGUGUUUUCUCAAUGGUUGCAUUUAUAUUGUUGAUGCAUAUAAAGUUUAUUGAAGUAGCUGUGAUAAAGGGAUUCACACUGGACAAAUGGUUCUGCGGCUAGUUGAAGCAGUUGGUAACUUUUCAACAGUUCUUUCCUUCUCUCAGUGUGUAUGCAAUUAUGUACUAAAACACACACACAUAAAAGCACGGAGAGGAAUCUGGAUAUACUAAGAUUACCUUGCGAGGGGCCACUAAAGAGGAGCGUAUUACCAUUAUGCGAAAAAUGGAUGCACGUAACAAGUCCGAGUGGUUGUUAAAUGGAAAAGUGGUGCCUAAGGAGGAUAUUGCUAAAAUAACUAAAAGGUUCAACAUCCAAGUCACACAAUUUGACUUAGGUGAGUUUCUUUAUCACUCAGUGAUUAAAAUAU